ensembl:lncRNA
AGGGAAUUGUCAUAUGAAGAAAUGUUGGCGUGACUGUUAGCACAUUGGUGUGGGGAAGAGAAGAGCCUCAGGUUGCGCACUUGAAUAUUUUCAGUUGCUGUGUCAGCAUUUGGGCUCAGAGUUUCAUUAUUUGGACUGCAGUGGACUCCUGAUGGUUUUUGUGCAGCUGUAGCUUGUGAAACUCUGGGACCUUCACAACUCUGUGUACCCAGCUUUUGUUUUUUUUUUUUGUUUUUUUUAAUUAAUUUGUAUUGUAUUUUGUAUUGUGUUAGUUGACACAAUGCAAGAAUACAUCUGCAUGUGUGUGUGUGUUGGAAUACUGUCCUCAGUCCUGCAGGCUGCAGGGCAAGUCCAGUGUUUAGAAAAGAAGAAACUUCUGCAGCCUCGGGCUAAUUUUUCACUGCCUACAGACUGUUUGAUUCACUGCACUGGGAUGACGUUCAUUAAAAAACUGCAACUCCAGGACAUGAAUAACAUCCGCAUGCGUGACUCAACAGAUGGAGAACUUGGGGAAUACUGCUGGCCAUCUGAACUGAAGUGCAACACAGUAGAAAGCUUCCUCAGUGCUUACGUUGUGCUCCCAGUGGAUGUUUCUACCGUCAGUCAUGAGCAGCUAAAGGUCAAAGUCACUGACCCCGCCACCACCACCAUGCUGCAAGUGCACAGCCAUGCAAGCACACUGGCAGACAGCUGUGGCCCGCGCUAUGACGUCACACAGCACUUCACCACCACACGGAGCACGGGGACGUCGUUCUGCAUCCAGGUGCUCACCCAUGAAGAUGCCCCGGGGGACGUAUUGCUGAAGUGCCCUCCUUUCCUCGCCACCUUCUACCUGAGAAACCCGUCGAACUAACAAAGCGGUGGAUAAAAGUUGGCAAUCAUUGACGAAAUGUGUCAGACGUUUUGUGUAGACCAGGAGUGUCGAACUCAUUUUAGUUCAAGGGCCAAAUAUGAAGUAGUUUGAUCCUAAGUGAGAUUUAAGGCAGGAAAACUAGUCAUUUCAUCAUUAAUGUCCCAAAGUUUGAACUUUACACAACGUAUAAAUGAUGCAUAAAUUACAUCAGGCCGAACAAUAUCCAGGCAAUAAGUGACAGAUAUCAGUUACUGCAGGCUUUCAUCUUUUAAAUUUCAUUGAUUUUGUGACCAAUUUUUUUAUUUAAUUUGGGGAAAUUAUGUGGAAUCACUUCAGGAAAGUUUAGUUCUUGAAUGAUUUGAGAUUUUAAAUGACUGCAGUCAUGUGAUAAAAGCAUGGGGGGAAUUGGGAUCCUCCAAAUAUUGUGUAUUUAGAGGGGUUGCGAUAUCUAAAAAUGAAGAAUUUGGUAAUUUGUCUAAAGAGUUUGACACAUGUGACCUAUAAUGACCACCUUCCUCACACCAUUUGGACCAUUUUUGGGUCUCCAAACACAACAAAAUGUGUUAUGCUGCGUAUUCUUCCACCUUCCUUUGCAAAGCUAAAUAACACCAGUUAUGGCUGAUUGGAAGCUAUUCUGGCUAUUUUGUAUUUAAUUUGGGGGAAAUUAUGUGAAAUCAUUUCGGGAAUUUUUUGUUCUUUGAACAAUUUGAGAUUUAAAAUGACUGCAGUCAUGUAAUAAAAGCAUGAGGAAAAUUGCGAUCCUUUAAAUA